rnacentral:tRNA from 2 species
GCAUCUGUAGUGUAGGGGUUAUCAUCCCAGCCUUCCAUUCCUGAACGGUAGCUGGGGACUCGGGUUCGAGUCCCGACAGAUGCA